CAAGAAGUUUCCUGAUCCUGGCAUGGGCAGCUCCCGUGGCAGCUCAGUUCUGGGGUGUGGCUUUGUGAGCUGUUUCUGGAAACACACUACCGUCAACUUCUUCAGUCCUCCCAGUGAUUCUAUUUCAAGCCUUUGGAGGAGAAGGACAUUGCUUCAAAUCAUCCUCAACCCUACAAUCAUAGGAACAUGACCUGUGUUUUGUCACGGAGAUGAAAAUAGCUUAACCCAAAUACAAGAACGAUGGUGGAAUUUCUCACAAGGUGACUUUAACCAUAUCUCAGCUUUCUCUGAUGGAAGACACAUGGUGAGAAGCAUUUGGUCCUAAAUGUAACCAACGAGUUUUGUUCCGUGCGUGCCAGCUCUCUGGAGAAGAUCUGUGCCUGGACAGAAGGUUUGGGGGGCAAGAGCCCUCUGACUUGGCCUCAGAACCAGGGAGCCUCCCAGCGUGGAGGGCCUCUGAGCCCUUCAGCUGCUGUCACACCCCUGACGAUGGUGCUCUGAAGAAGCCAUGGGUCCCACCCCAGACCCAGUCCUCUUGGCUCCCAGCUCCAGGCCAGGUGGUUCAGGCUACCCCACCACCUCAUCCUGGGAUCCCAGGAUCUCCCAGGGAGAGAGAUUUAUUCCCAAGGCACUGAAUGCCAAUAAAUAUUAAACACCCAAGUGGACAUAGGACAAUGAUAUUGAGAGGCCAGAGAGUUUUUACCAAAGUUGAGAGCUUGGUUUCAAGUACGUUUGUCCCAGAAUUCCAAGGCAGGAAAGGUACUUGGGAGGUCACCGUGUGUCCCCAGCGGCCUCUCCAGUAGCAGAAGGGAAGAAUGAAAGGUGCACACAGAGGACUCCAGGGGUCCCCACGCCCUGCCUCAACUCCUAAUUAAGAAAGACAACCUGGCCUUGAGCAGGCGGUGUGGACACGCACGUGCUUCUCUGGAAGACGCACUGCAAUGAGAUACCACCACAUGCCUAUUGGAACACCUAAAAUUAAAAAGACUGAUUGUGUCAAGUGUUUGUGAAGAUGUGGAGGAACUUGAACUCAUAUACUGUUGGUGGGAACGUAAAAUGGUACAACUAUUUUGGAAAACAAUGUUUCAUUUCUUGAAAAGUUAAACAAACACCUAUACCCUAUGACUAGCCCUUCCACUCCUAGGUAUUUACCCAAGAGAAACGAAAGCAUUCAAUACUUGUACAUGAAUACUCAUAGCAGCUUUAUGUGUAAUCA